rnacentral:rRNA from 1 species
AACGAACGCUGGCGGCGUGCCUAACACAUGCAAGUCGUGCGAGAAAGUUCCUUCGGGAGCGAGUAAAGCGGCGCACGGGUGAGUAACACGUAGGUAACCUGCCCCCCAGUCUGGAACAACUAGAGGAAACUCUAGCUAAUGCCGGAUGAGACCACGAUCCCUUCGGGGGUUGCGGCCAAAGAUGGCCUCUACUUGUAAGCUAUCGCUGAGGGAUGGGCCUGCGGGCCAUUAGCUUGUUGGUGAGGUAACGGCUCACCAAGGCUGUGAUGGCUAGCUGGUCUGAGAGGAUGACCAGCCACACUGGGACUGAGACACGGCCCAGACUCCUACGGGAGGCAGCAGUGGGGAAUAUUGCGCAAUGGGCGAAGACCUGACGCAGCGACGCCGCGUGGGUGAUGAAGG